UGCACAACACCUCAUCCACUCAGUGGUAGGUACUGGUGCUGCACAUCACCUCAUCCACUCAGUGGUAGGUACUGGUGCUGCACAUCACCUCAUCCACUCAGUAGUAGGUAUUGGUGCUGCACAACACCUCAUCCACUCAGUGGUAGGUACUGGUGCUGCACAUCACCUCAUCCACUCAGUAGUAGGUACUGGUGCUGCACAUCACCUCAUCCACUCAGUGGUAGGUAUUGGUGCUGCACAACACCUCAUCCACUCAGUGGUAGGUACUGGUGCUGCACAUCACCUCAUCCACUCAGUGGUAGGUAUUGGUGCUGCACAACACCUCAUCCACUCAGUGGUAGGUACUGGUGCUGCACAUCACCUCAUCCACUCACUGGUACAGUAGGUUAAGCAUUGUUUCUUGCCUUUUUUAAAUAUCACAACAGUGCUUUUCUUUGAAUAAAGGUCUGGAUGGUCCAAUU